AGCAGCCGCGGUAAUUCCAGCUCCAAUAGCGUAUAUUAAAGUUGUUGCAGUUAAAAAGCUCGUAGUUGAAUUUCGGGGUUAGUAGGUUGGUCAUGCCUUUGGUAUGUACUGGUCUCACUGAUUCCUCCUUCCUGAUGAGCCGUAAUGCCAUUAAUUUGGUGUUGCGGGGAAUUUGGACUGUUACUUUGAAAAAAUUAGAGUGUUUAAAGCAAGCUAACGCUUGAAUACAUUAGCAUGGAAUAAUGAAAUAGGACGUUCGAUCCUAUUUUGUUGGUUUCUAGGAUUGACGUAAUGAUUAAUAGGGAUAGUUGGGGGCAUUAGUAUUCAAUUGUCAGAGGUGAAAUUCUUGGAUUUAUUGAAGACUAACUACUGCGAAAGCAUUUGCCAAGGAUGUUUUCAUUAAUCAAGAACGAAAGUUAGGGGAUCGAAGACGAUCAGAUACCGUCGUAGUCUUAACCAUAAACUAUGCCGACUAGGGAUCGGAUGAUGUUAAUUUUUUAAUGACUCAUUCGGCGCCUUA
rnacentral:misc_RNA from 1 species